rnacentral:rRNA from 1 species
AUUGAACGCUGGCGGCAGGCCUAACACAUGCAAGUCGAACGAGUGGCGGACGGGUGAGUAAUGUCUGGGAAACUGCCUGAUGGAGGGGGAUAACUACUGGAAACGGUAGCUAAUACCGCAUACCAUCAGAUGUGCCCAGAUGGGAUUAGCUUGUUGGUGGGGUAACGGCUCACCAAGGCGACGAUCCCUAGCUGGUCUGAGAGGAUGACCAGGCCAACUUGAACCGGUGCCCGGUCCAGACUCCUACGGGAGGCAGCAGGGGGGAAUAUUUCCCAAUGGGCGCAAGCCUUAUGCCGCCCUGCCUGGUGGAUGAAGAAGGCCUUCGGGUUGUAAAGUACUUUCAGCGGGGAGGCGUUACCCGCAGAAGAAGCACCGGCUAACUCCGUGCCAGCAGCCGCGGUAAUUC